UUCUAAUGCUAUGACCAGUUGCCUUGCUAGCAGGAUUUAGGAACUCCCUCAGGUGGCAGCAGGUUUUGUAUUAUAUUUGGUUCAUGGCAUUACAAACAAGUGUGUUACAGGUUGAGUCUCAAUGGUUAUGGAUAAAGUUUAGCUUGAGUUGGAAACAGGUCUUGGGGAUUUAGGUUCAUGGUAAGUUAACACGCUUCAUGACCUGAUAUUUGUGAUGUCUCUGCUAUUAGUUACAGGCCUGAACUCGUCUUGCAAUGGUGUCCUGAGUUUGCUGCUGUCUUGUCCAGUAGGUUUUGCCUUGUGCAUCAUGGCUCCAACUUGCUUCACCAUUUGGCUAGUUUUAGUUGUCACAGGUUGUAACUUUGGUGAAAUUCGUUGGAUGGUUGGAAGUUCCGUGUGGUGAUGUUGGUUUGUUGCAAGUUGUGUGCCUUGAUGCACUGCUUUCUGCAGAAUUUAUUUGGUUUAUGGCAUGGGGUUUCACAGGUAAAGGCAAUCAUAGCCAGAGUGGUACAUGCAGACACAACAAUAACAAAGGGAGCCAUAGAGAAACUGCUUCCCAACUUCAAAGAUAUUUCUUUGGAAAAUUGUUUCCUCUCAACAAAACAGCAAACCAGCACAAGGAGCCCAGUUGACCAUUGAAGAAUAAACAAGAGCAUAGCAGCAACCAUCAGGCUAAAAAAAAAUUGCCUAUAGUUUUUUUUCAAUACAGUUGUUGAGCCAUCGGCAAUGAUGAUCAAAGUGAUUUACACACUUAUCGCAAACUCUGCAGUGCUUGCUGUAUUUGAAGACCUCAACUUCACACAAACUGCAAUAGAACAUGCCAUCUUCACUGGUAUGCUUAUCAGAAGAUUUCUCACUUGAACCAGAGCAGCGACAUACGUAGGCACAAGGAGAGCAAACCACGAGGAAACGUGACAAACAAGAAGAUGAUGAAUUUGCCUUCUCAACUGAAUUAUAAGCAUCCUUCAUAUUUCCUUCAGUUCCAAAUGCUUCACUAUCCAUGGAAUUUCCUCCAACUGUUGAAGCAUUUGCAUCAUGCAUUGAUGGGGUUGACUCUUCACCUAGUUUAGAACCCUUUAGCCCAACAAUCUUUUUACUGUCUGGAAUUUUAAGAUACUGUUUGGACUUAAAAAACCCCAGGAUCUGCUGCAGUGCACCAAAUGUAGAGUCCAAAAAAACAACAGCAAUCAGAGGUGUGUAAAGAGCGACGGCAAUAUACUGAUACAUCUUGUUUCCAACAAAAGGAGCAAAGAACACGUAGAAAGCAAACCCCAGAGCCAAAAACACAGCAACAGCCACAACCUGAAGAGGAUGGUAAGGUAGCUGCCAUCCAUGCUUCCUCAUAGUUCUACUUCAGAAGUAACAGUAUAUAAAA